rnacentral:rRNA from 1 species
GACGGGGGGGGCAAGUGUUCUUCGGAAUGACUGGGCGUAAAGGGCGCGUAGGCGGCCUGGCAAGUGGAAGGUGAAAUCCCUCGGCUUAACCGAGGAACUGCCCUCCAAACUGCUUGGCUUGAGUCCGGGAGAGGUGAGUGGAACUGCGAGUGUAGAGGUGAAAUUCGUAGAUAUUCGCAAGAACACCAGUGGCGAAGGCGGCUCACUGGCCCGGAACUGACGCUGAGGUGCGAAAGCGUGGGGAGCAAACAGG